CUGGCCCAGCUGAUUGAUGGUGCUUGCACCUGAUUGACGAUGGAUCACCAGUGAGUGGCGGACGGGUGAGUAACACGUAGGUAACCUGCCCCGGAGCGGGGGAUAACAUUUGGAAACAGAUGCUAAUACCGCAUAACAACAAAAGCCACAUGGCUUUUGUUUGAAAGAUGGCUUUGGCUAUCACUCUGGGAUGGACCUGCGGUGCAUUAGCUAGUUGGUAAGGUAACGGCUUACCAAGGCGAUGAUGCAUAGCCGAGUUGAGAGACUGAUCGGCCACAAUGGAACUGAGACACGGUCCAUACUCCUACGGGAGGCAGCAGUAGGGAAUCUUCCACAAUGGGCGCAAGCCUGAUGGAGCAACACCGCGUGAGUGAAGAAGGGUUUCGGCUCGUAAAGCUCUGUUGUUGGAGAAGAACGUGCGUGAGAGUAACUGUUCACGCAGUGACGGUAUCCAACCAGAAAGUCACGGCUAACUACGUGCCAGCAGCCGCGGUAAUACGUAGGUGGCAAGCGUUAUCCGGAUUUAUUGGGCGUAAAGCGAGCGCAGGCGGUUGCUUAGGUCUGAUGUGAAAGCCUUCGGCUUAACCGAAGAAGUGCAUCGGAAACCGGGCGACUUGAGUGCAGAAGAGGACAGUGGAACUCCAUGUGUAGCGGUGGAAUGCGUAGAUAUAUGGAAGAACACCAGUGGCGAAGGCGGCUGUCUGGUCUG
rnacentral:rRNA from 1 species